rnacentral:rRNA from 1 species
GACGAACGCUGGCGGCGUGCUUAACACAUGCAAGUCGAACGGAAAGGCCCCCACCUUGGUGGGGGUGCUCGAGUGGCGAACGGGUGAGUAACACGUGGGUGAUCUGCCCUGUACUUCGGGAUAAGCUUGGGAAACUGGGUCUAAUACCGGAUAGGACCAUGGUUUAGUGUCUCAUGGUGGAAAAAUUAUUGUUUUGGUGCAGGAUGAGCUCGCGGCCUAUCAGCUUGUUGGUGGGGUAAUGGCCUACCAAGGCGUCGACGGGUAGCCGGCCUGAGAGGGUGGACGGCCACAUUGGGACGGAGAUACGGCCCAGACUCCUACGGAAGGCAGCAGUGGGGAAGAUUGCACAAUGGGCGCAAGCCUGAUGCAGCGACGCCGCGUGGGGGAUGACGGCCUUCGGGUUGUAAACUCCUUUCGUUAGGGACGAAGCCACACCUUUUUUGGGUGUGGUGACGGUACCUUUGUUAAGAAGCACCGGCUAACUACGUG